AUGGUGAAGGGUCGCCAAGGAGAACGCAUCAGACUUUACGUCAGGGGUACCAUCCUUGGAUACAAGAGAUCCAAAUCAAACCAGUACCCAAACACGUCACUGAUUCAAAUAGAGGGAGUGAAUACCAAGGAAGAGGUAGCGUGGUAUGCUGGAAAGAAGAUGGCUUACAUCUACAAGGCAAAGGUGAAGAAGAAUGGUACUCAUUACCGUUGUUUAUGGGGCAAGGUUACUAGACCUCAUGGUAACAGUGGUAUUGUUCGUGCUAAGUUCAAGUCCAACCUUCCACCUAAAUCAAUGGGUGCACGUGUGCGAGUUUUCAUGUAUCCAAGUAACAUAUGA